AUCGCUUCUCAGCCUUUUGGCUAAAAUCAAGUGUAGAAUCAACUCACUAUUUUUUUUUUUUUUUAAUGCUGUCAGAAUUUUUCCUGGAAUUUAUCUGGGGUAAAAUUACAUCCU
rnacentral:snRNA from 1 species